GCCCCCUUUGUCUAAUGGCUAUGACGUCAGACUUCUAAUCUGGAGGUUGCGGGUUCGAGUCCCGCAGGGGGUA
rnacentral:tRNA from 1 species